GCUGGUCCAGCACUUUGCUGGGCUAAGCGUCACCCACCCAUUAUCACGACAUAAACUUUUUUUUAUAAAACCUUUUGACUCCUCUUAAUCAUUCUGGAUUAUACUCCGUAUCAUUCUUCUCUUUUUCAUCUCAGUUCAUCCUCACUCAAGAAGAACCCUAACACUUCAAAUCAACGGCAAUCUUGAUUUUUUCUCCAUAAAUAUACAAGAAUAUUGUUCUGAAUAAGCUGAUCUAUCAAAACCCUCAAUUAAUUUGAUAAAUAUGUGGUUUCUCUCUCAUUGACUUCUUUAUCUAUCCUUGAAUUCGUGCAAAUUUGGUUCAAAUUGAGACUUAUUUGGCUAUUUUGAGCACGAAGUUUUGGCGACAAGGGAUAGAGAAUCUGAGUCGUGUAAGACGGUAAAGGCAUUGGAGGAUGUCGAUGGUGGAACGACGCUGAUACACAGAUGGUGGUUGUGGACUUGUGGUGAUGGCAAAGCUUGAGUAACAAGGCUAGUCGACCAUUUUUGUUCGUCGAAAAACCCCCCAAAUCGAAAAACCCCAAAUCGAAAUCUAGGGUUUCCAUUUGGGGGGUUUUUGGUUUUUUUGGGUGGUGGUUUAGGGGGGAAAGGUGGUGG